GUCCACGCCGUAACUAUGGAUACUAGGUGUUGGGACAUUAACCUCCUGAGUACCAAAGCUAACGCAUUAAGUAUCCCGCCUGGGGAGUACGGUCGCAAGGCUAAACUCAAAGGAAUUGACGGGGCCCGCACAAGCGGUGGAGUAUGUGGUUUAAUUCGAAGCAACGCGCAGAACCUUACCUACCCUUAACAUCCCGGGAAGUUUGCAGAGAUGUAAACGUCACUUCGGUGACUCGGUGAUAGGUGCUGCAUGGCUGUCGU
rnacentral:rRNA from 1 species